AUCCCUACCUAUGUGAGGACCUUACAGGCCUUAUGAAGACUGAGGACUAAACAGUCAAAGAGAGACUUCAGAACUAUGGCUAUUUAAGAAGUUAUGAAGGCGGAUUCCUUAGACUUCCCCUGCGGAUCCUAAGGAAGGUCUCCACUGUCAAGACACAAGACUUGUAAAGAUGAAAAAAUGAAAACGAACCCUUUUUCCUUUGCUGUAUUUUAAUUUCUGUCUUGUGAAGUGCAUAGCUUAGUGAAGUUCUGCUUCCAAUAUGUAGUGUGCAAUGAAAUUUGGAUUCCUAUCAAAUUUGAGUGCUUUUUUUUUUUCAGUUGAGCCAACUUACAUCCUGUCUUUGACAGUAGCUGGUACCACGUGUGUUUGCAUUAGAUGGUCAUGAAAGAACUUGGUCAAAGCUGGUUGCGCUCUUUGUAGUUUGCUCAACAGAUGAUCAAACUACUACUGAUUCCUUUAUGCCUUUGUGACUAGCUAGGAUAAUUUCUUAAAUACUAAUCCUGUCUAGUGUUAAUGGGACAUCUUGUGUUUCUCUCACAAUUUUGAAUUAAACAAGAAAGCAUCUGUUUUAAAGAAAUGUCAGCACCCUUUUGUGUCUUAUAUUCUUAGUAUUUUGUUUCACUGUGAAUGAUAUAUUUUUCUAACAUCUGUAAAUUACCAAUCAUAGUUAAAACAAACAAACCCAGCAGGUUAUGUAUAACCUUUUACUGGAUGGAAGUAAAUAUAUAACCAGUUUGUAUGAA